rnacentral:lncRNA from 1 species
AAUCGCAGAAACCCUAGUUCGCAAGUAGCAUCCAUGGCACCAACUUGCAAAUUGCACAAACCAAAAACGCAGAAAUAAUGUGAAGGUGAAGCUGAAUGUUAACGUUCAGGUGUUUAUAUGUAAUGUUAAAUUUAGUUUCCCCUUUGGUCAAAAAAUGUGCAAUGUGGUCCCCUUUUCAAUUUAAAACUGUGUACUUUGGUCCCAAAUGGAUAUCAGCGAAAAACAGAUGAUAGAUAUCUGACUUAGUUUCCACCAUUAGUUUCCACCUCCAGUCCACCAUCUUUGUCCACCUCUAGUCCACCAUCCACCUCCUCUCCACCAUUAGUUUCCACCUCUAAUCCAUCAUCUUUGUCCACCUCCACUCCACCAUUCACUUCCUCUCCACCAUCACUUUCCACCUUCAUUCCACCCUUUAUUUCUACCUCAAACCCUAACCCCUAAAUCCAACAAUAAGAACAUCGAGUAAGUAGGCUAGAGUUAGCAACGCUUACUUCAUGUACGUACGCUCUUCAAAUUUGACCUUCAAUGAAUCACCACGCCAUAGUGAUUACAAGAUUAAUUUCACCAAAUUGUUAAAUCCAAAAAUUGCAAUUGAAUUCUUAAACCCUAACCCUAACCCCCAAAUACCCAGAAAUUCAUAAGAUCAUCGUCAAUCGAAGAAAAUACCUAUAUUUAACACAAAAUCAAAUUAAACCCUAACUCCUAAAUAACAUAACAAGAACAUCAGCAGCAGAAUCAACAACAAUCACCAAUUUCACAACAAUGAAAAACCCAGAAAUGGCUUAAUCAGAUAAGGGUUUUUUACUUUAACCCACACUUAAACUAUUUUUCGUCAUUUUAUUUUUUUUCUUAAAUAUGUACAUAUUAAAAUAA